rnacentral:rRNA from 1 species
CAGCAGCCGCGGUAAUACAGAGGGUGCGAGCGUUAAUCGGAUUUACUGGGCGUAAAGCGUGCGUAGGCGGCUUCUUAAGUCGGAUGUGAAAUCCCUGAGCUUAACUUAGGAAUUGCAUUCGAUACUGGGAAGCUAGAGUAUGGGAGAGGAUGGUAGAAUUCCAGGUGUAGCGGUGAAAUGCGUAGAGAUCUGGAGGAAUACCGAUGGCGAAGGCAGCCAUCUGGCCUAAUACUGACGCUGAGAGACGAAAGCUAGGGGAGCAAAUGGGAUUAGAUACCCGUGUAGUCCCUGUCUCUUAUAU